GAUGAACGCUAGCGGGAGGCCUAAUACAUGCAAGUCGAGCGGUAGAGUGACUUCGGUUGCUUGAGAGCGGCGAACGGGUGAGUAACGCGUACACAAUCUACCUUUAAGAGGGGAAUAGCCUUGGGAAACUGGGAUUAAUGCCCCAUGGCAUCACGAGACGGCAUCGUUUUGUGGUUAAAGCUGAGGUGCUUAGAGAUGAGUGUGCGUCUGAUUAGCUAGUUGGUGCGGUAACGGCGCACCAAGGCGACGAUCAGUAGGGGGCGUGAGAGCGUGGACCCCCACACGGGUACUGAGACACGGACCCGACUCCUACGGGAGGCAGCAGUAAGGAAUAUUGGUCAAUGGAGGAAACUCUGAACCAGCCAUCCCGCGUGCAGGAAGAAUGCCCUAUGGGUUGUAAACUGCUUUUAUCUGGGAAGAAAAGUCGGGAUUUAUCCUGAUCUGACGGUACCAGAGGAAUAAGCACCGGCUAACUCCGUGCCAGCAGCCGCGGUAAAGU
rnacentral:rRNA from 1 species